UACGGAGGAUCCAAGCGUUAUCCGGAUUUAUUGGGUUUAAAGGGUGCGUAGGUGGCCUGGUAAGUCAGGGGUGAAAGACGGUAGCUUAACUAUCGCAGUGCCUUUGAUACUGCCGGGCUUGAAUACACUAGAGGUAGGCGGAAUGUGACAAGUAGCGGUGAAAUGCAUAGAUAUGUCACAGAACACCGAUUGCGAAGGCAGCUUACUAUGGUGUUAUUGACACUGAGGCACGAAAGCGUGGGGAUCAAACAGG
rnacentral:rRNA from 1 species